GUCUAUGGCCAUACCACCCUGAAUGUGCCCGAUCUCAUCUGAUCUCAGAAGCUAAGCAGGGUCGGGCCUGGUUAGUACUUGGAGGGAAGAUGAAUUAUUUAUGGACA
rnacentral:rRNA from 1 species